GCCCUGCUCCGCCGAGGGCACGUGAGCGCGCUGCGCGCUGGUUUCUAAGUUUAGCUGCGCCUGCCCAGGUGGGGUCGGGUGAGGUAAAGGCGGGCAGAGGGGACGAGAGGGCUGGGGGCGCGGUGCUCCGGGUCCCUUGCUGCCCCGCCGUCGGUCCUCUUGGAGGACGGGGCCGUCCCGCAAUGCACGAGCGCGGGCGCUUCCCCAGGCCAGCCCGAGGGGUGUCCUCCGGGUGCCAGCCCAGCCCCGAGCUCGCCUGGCUUCAGCGUGGACGCUCAAUAAAUAAAUCGCGGUUCCCUCCUGGAUGGCGACUUGGGACUUCCCCGAGAGGACCAGGGUUCUGGAAAGUUCCCUGGUGGACGGGGUGCAGUGGGCUGAAGUCAGAACAGGAGCGGGGCCUUGGCGAGGGCUGGGCGGGAGGCGUGGGCUGAGCCUGUCGGGGCGUCAGCCCUGGGUCCCCUCUGUGGGGCGGUCGCGCAGCAUCUCUCAGGGGGCCCUGCACUUGGCCAGCGUCGCCCUCCGCCGGGGGAGGGUCCUUCAGGACCCGCGCUGAGCCGCCGCGUCAGAAUCCGUGGCAGUGGGAGGGAUGGGGACCGUUGUGGGGUCAAGCUAAGCACAGAGGCCUGAAGGUCACCAGUUGAGCCACGCUGAUGCCCCCAAACCCAGGCGCUCCAAAGAAAGCAGUGCCAGGCCGCUUGUGAAAUCGACACGCUCCCCAUCUUUGGGCGGUGAGAUGGAUGGAGUUCUGGAAAGAAGCUCUGUCAGCGUAAAGUGAACUGCAAUUUCGACUUUGCAGAGUGGGCUGCCGUGUCACAGUGACCUGCAUUCUGGUGUGGCAUCGUCAGACCUCAUGGGGUUCGCCUUCGCAGGAACUUUCGUGAAGGUCCCUUCACUGCUUUCACCAGAGUGUGAGCUCCUCUGUGCCAUCACAAUGGACGAUUCUUUUGUACACAUGGCGAGGGGGGUGAAGCCCGUCGGCCACGCAGCCAGGACGCCCGGGUUCAAAUCUCCUGUGACUUGAGAAAGCAGGUAUUAGAGAAGUGAGAGCGGGACGUGAAAUCAGACUGCCUGGAUUCUCAUCUCAGCCCCUCCCCUGACAAGAUGAUGCCUUUGGGCAAGUUGUUCAACCAAACCCAGGGUCAGCCGCCUCCCCUGUGGAACGGAGGGUCCUGAGAGCACCCAUUUCAUCCCAUUGCUGGGAGCGUCGAAGGAGGUGACUCAGGCGAGGCAUUGGAGCCCCGCGCUUCGUGAACAGAGGCCCUGGGCCGCUUCUUCUGAGACGUAAAUAAGGAGUAGUUUGGAAACAGCCAAGCUAAGAUGCUUAUAUUGUCAUUACUGUGCCUUGGGUAAGUACACAAGGAUGUCACUUAAAUUCCGCAUACUGUAAAGCGAGAGAAUACACCGGAGAAUUCACAAAGGUCCCUGAAGUCAGAUAGCUUCUGAGGGGGAGUGGCGCGAGGAUGGGCCCAGCGUGGCGGGAGAAGCAUCUGCGAGGGAAGCGAGGGAAGGGAGGCAGUCACUUUGGCUCAAAACUGGCGCCACAACCGGACUUUGUCGUUUCCUGAACUGGGGCCUCGGUGCUCAGCCGAUGUUCAGGGCUGGUGCUGCCACGACGGGGGCCCCAGCCUGAGACCCCCCUGCUCUGGGCCAGUCGUGGGGGCGUCUGGGGAAAGCCUUUGGUCACGUUACGUGGACAGACCAAGUUCAAUUGUGGAGCAGGGAGCUGGUUCAAAGCUGCCCUUGGGGUUGAAUGAGCCGAGGCAAAGAAUUAGGCGUCACCUCAGAGGCACUUCCGUUACAUUGCAAGAGAUUCUGCAGGUUUGGAGGUUUCAUAUCCCCCAUACCUCUCAUCCUGUCAACACGUUAGCCCAAUUAUUAUCCCUUUUUUGUUGUUGUUGUUGUUGUUGUU